AUUGAACGCUGGCGGCAGGCCUAACACAUGCAAGUCGAACGAGUAGCGGACGGGUGAGUAAUGUAUGGGAAACUGCCUGCUGGAGGGGGAUAACUACUGGAAACGGUAGCUAAUACCGCAUACCAUCAGAUGUGCCCAGAUGGGAUUAGCUAGUAGUUAGGGUAACGGCUCACGUAGGCGACGAUCCCUAGCUGUUCUGAAAUGAUGACCAGCCACACUGGAACUGAGACACGGUCCAGACUCCUACGGGAGGCAGCAGUGGGGAAUAUUGCACAAUGGGCGCAAGCCUGAUGCAGCCAUGCCGCGUGUAUGAAGAAGGCCUUCGGGUUGUAAAGUACUUUCAGCUGGGAGGCGUUACCCGCAGAAGAAGCACCGGCUAACUCCGUGCCAGCAGCCGCGGUAAUAC
rnacentral:rRNA from 1 species